ensembl:lincRNA BC016548 uncharacterized LOC110307873
CAGAGCUUGGAUGUGAACCAUACUGUUUACCUGGUUGCUGGGAACAGCUAUCACGUGAGGGCAUGUGUGUGUGUUCUACCUGUCCUCCCUUGAUACUCCUGAGGUAGCUGGUCCUGUGCCCAACUUUGAUUCAUUUUUAGUGAAAAACAACCUGACCUGAAGAUAAGAAUUCACUCCAGCAAGAUCAUCAGCUAUGAUAAUUGGACCUCUCAGAGUUCAUGUUAACUGGUGACUUAUUGCACUCAAGAGUUCUUAUGUGUGAGAAACAGGAGUCUAGCCUGGCUGUCCUCUGAGAGGCUCCACCCAGCAGCUGACUCAGAGAGAUGCAGCCAAACAGUGGAUGGAGCUUGGGAACUCUUAUGGAAGAAUAGGAGGAAGGUUUGCAUUCCCUAAGGGGAUAGAACUCUACAGGAACAGAGUCACCUAUCCUGGACCCUUGGGGCUCUCAGAGACAGAACCAUCAACUACAGAACAUACAUGGACUGGACCUAGGCCUUCCUGCACAUCUGUAGCAGAUGUGCAGCUUGGUCUUCAUCCCAAACAACUGGAGUGUGGGUUAUCCCAAAAGCUGUUGCCUGUAUGUGAGAUAUGUUCUAUAAGCUGGGCUGUCUUCUAUGGCCUCAGUGGGAGAGGAUGCAUCUAGCUUCACAGAGACUUGAUAUGCUCUUGUUGGGGUUGGGGGCUCAGAAGGAGAGGGGAGAUUUGUGGAAAGGGGACUGGGAGGGGGACAGUGAGUAGGAUGUAAAGUGAAUAGGUAAAAUAAUAAUAAUAAUGAUAAUUUUUAAAAAAAAGA